rnacentral:misc_RNA from 1 species
GCACGUCUGCACUCUGCAGUUUAAUAACAACACAGAAGUUUUGCAUUUCGAAUUUGAGAAUUCCCGAGUUUUUGUUGUUGAAGAAGUAUCAAGAAAAUUCUGUAAUGUGUUAGAUUCUUUCACUUUAAAGACGAAUUACUCGAUAUUACGAAACCUUUUGUUAUUAUAUUGGUAUUGUUGAUUCAAGAGCUUAAAAUAACUUGUGUCGUUAUGGCUGCAACAGAACCUAUUGACGUGAGGAAAAAUAGAUACCCUUUUUGCAUUGUUUGGACUCCUAUUCCGUUGAUAACGUGGAUAUUCCCGUUUAUUGGACACAUGGGGAUUUGCACAAGUUCAGGAAUUAUAAGGGACUUUGCUGGUUCCUACUUUGUUUCUGAAGAUCAAAUGGCAUUUGGAGAUCCUACAAAGUUCUUGCAGCUUGAAAUAUCAAAAGUUCCUGGUGGUGUUUCUGCUUGGGACCGAGCCAUCCAAGAUGCUUCUGAAGAAUACAAAAGUCAUAUGCAUAACUUGUGUUGUGAUAACUGCCACUCACAUGUUGCUCUGUCAUUGAAUAAUAUGGCAUACCCUGGAAAGAGAAAUUGGAACAUGGUUGCUGUAUGUUGGCAAAUGUUAUUUCAUGGCAAGCACAUUGGUUGUUCAGGAUUUUUGAGAACUUGGGCCCCGUCAAUCUUCCUUCUCGCAGUAAUUGCUGUGAUUGUGAUUUUUAUAGCUUGAUAAACCAGCCCUGAUAUUGAGGGAAAUCCAUAAUUAAAUGCUAAACUGCUUCAAUAAAGUUUUUCAUGUCACAUGCACACAGAUCCUUCUACUUGCACCGAAUUUGCUUUGAAAACGGCAUGGAAAUCUCAGCUACGAACUUUUGCAACCGGAUGCUAGCAGCCUCGAUACGUUAUUCGAGACAUCACACUCGCGGUGUGUGAUUCGGCUCUAUAUGCUGUUGACACCGAUAUCCUCUAGCAAAUAUUCAGCAGAAUAUGAUCAUUCUGACAACUAUUAAGGGUCACACUAUUCGUUUAUAACUAAAAGGCAGGAGCUGCUGUUCUCAGAGCUCAUUAAGCUUUUCGCUAUUAACGGCGAAAGUUGUCCUCUAUCUUGAAAAUUACAAUGAAAUUCUAUUUCAUUUUACUGCUCGUGUUUUCCUGCUGCAAUUUUUGUUACGGAGAAGAUUCUUCAAAAUUACGUGUGAUUUGCAUUGUCUCGGAUGAAAUUGCCCCAAUCACAG